rnacentral:rRNA from 1 species
UUAAUUCGAUGCAACGCGAAGAACCUUACCUGGUCUUGACAUCCCGGAGACCCUUAGGAAACUAGGGGGUGCUUCCAUCUGGAAGAAUCUGGAGACAGGUGCUGCAUGGCUGUCGUCAGCUCGUGUCGUGAGAUGUUGGGUUAAGUCCCGCAACGAGCGCAACCCUUGCCUUUAGUUGCCAGCAGUUCGGCUGGGCACUCUAAAGGGACUGCCGGUGUUAAACCGGAGGAAGGUGGGGAUGACGUCAAGUCCUCAUGGCCUUUAUGACCAGGGCUACACACGUACUACAAUGGCCGAUACAAAGGGCAGCGACACUGCGAGGUGAAGCCAAUCCCGUAAAAUCGGUCUCAGUCCGGAUUGGAGUCUGCAACUCGACUCCAUGAAGUUGGAAUCGCUAGUAAUCGUGGAUCAGCAUGCCACGGUGAAUACGUUCCCGGGCCUU